CACAGACAAAAUGAGUUCAUCCUCAUGUGUCUAGACAUGUAAGAACUGUUGGUAUAUUGUAUGUGCAUACAACCUCCUGAUGAACAGUACCAGAUCUGCAGGCAGCCCUCACUGCUCUCAUAUAUGGAAAACAAAAUACUUGGCGCUGGUCCACAGACAACACUGAGGCCCAUUAUCUUCUGCAGGCUCGCUAAGGCAGCUUUAAACGGGACGUUCAUGCAGGCCUCUCAGGCUGACCGGCUAUUACGGCAGGGCUGCAGUGGAGCAUCUUGUGCCCUGAAACACUGUGUACCACUCAUCUCUUCCUCACUGCCCUACAGCCAGCAUGUCCAACGAGUUCCUUUUCCAGUGUUGCACGGUAUACAGAUGUACCCUGCUGUUAAACGUUGCGUAAGGGAAAGUCCAAGACCGGAGACACAAGAAAACAUGAACUCACUGACAUAAAAUUCGACAAGACACCUAGACAACUCAGACCAAUCAGGAAACUCACUCAAUGAAGAGACAAGAGACAAGGGAUACACAUGGAUGAAAUACAGUAGGGAGGUGCAGGUGAUUGGACACAGGAGGAAACAAAUAGGGACACGGCAGACAAUCACCCACAGGAGAAAACACCAG
ensembl:lncRNA